rnacentral:lncRNA from 1 species
CCAGGCCCACCUCAUCCUCUCGGGCUCCACUGUGAGCGAGCGAGACGAGAGGCGGAGCCGCAUCGUGCUUAGCCGCCGCCGCUCCCUGCUCGCGCUCCACCCCGCCGCUCCACACUUGCGCUCGGCCGCCGCCGCUUCCCGCUCACGCUUGGAGGCCGCCGCUAGAGACCUGGAGUUCCUACCUGUCGUGGCCAUCGCCGGUCCCGCCUCCCCUGCUGAGGCGCCGUCGGCGUCGAGCCGACCUAGACCAGACGGCCGCCGCUCCGUUAUCCGGAGGAUCUGAUCCCAUCUCCCGACGACCGACGCUCGUUCUCCUCCGGUGAUUCGGUCCUUCCCGUUCCGUUGCUCUCCACCCCGGUCGUGGGUCAGUGGGUGUGUUUUUGACCAGAUGCGAGAUCCCAUUUGUUAUACUGCAGCUUUGCCUCUGUAGUGUUGUUUCUAAAUUUGUACAAAAUAUUGUUAGGCUGUUAGCAGAAGUGCAGAACAUCAGUAGGCUGUGUUUUCUUAGUAAUUGUUGUUUUGUGAACAAAAAAGCUCCAGAGGACUAGGGAUGUGCCAUUUUUUGUUCUAGUCUUGCUGUCUUGCUGACAUUAUGUUCCAAAUAUAGAACUGAAGUUGAAAAGGAAUGGUGACAUCAAGUCUUUUUUUUGGAAUUAUGAGGCAAAAUCAAGAAAGGUUGCAGCCGAAGAGCAACCGGAACCUAAUAUUGAUCCACCUUCAGUCCAUUUGGAUGCAAAGAUUGACAUUGAUGUUGAUCCACCUCCUGUCCAUUCCGAUGCAGAGAUUGACAUUGAUAUUGAUCCACCUCCAGUCCAUUCUGAUGCAGAGAUUGACAUUGAUAUUGAUGAUGAAGCACCACGGCAACCAUCACCCCAACAUCCACAUGCAAGGUCAUAUAAUAUUCAAAGGCUUCCACCUGAUCCAGGGGAAAGGAUUCCUAUUUCGGAGUACAAUGUUGAUGAUCAAGAU